rnacentral:lncRNA from 1 species
GGAUGUUAAAAAGGGAUUCUCUCUAUCCUAGAGUUUUGUUAGAAGCCUCAAAGCUGAAAACAAUACAACGGUUGCCCAGGACAGCCUCAUCUGGAGCAAGGGGCUAGACUCCCCACUUACAGAACAUGCUCAUGAAUUGUGAAGCUUGUCCUGCCAGCUUCAGCCCAGGAGCCGUGCCUGGGCUAUAGAAGAAGAGAUGAAAGAGGUAUUUAUGGAGCAUUGUUUUAUGGUGAUGAAUAGGACAGGGAAAGCCUCUGUUUUCAUGGUGCUCAUACGUUCAAGGAAGAGAGUCACCAAAAUCUGAUAAAUAAGAAACUAACUAACUGUGAGAAUAUCACGUAAUGAAAGUACUAUUAGAAAAUGAAACAAGGUGUGAAG